CACACACACCUCUUCAGUCUCACCACCUCAAACAGACAACUACUUCCAUAUAGGGAUAGUACAGGGACAGCGUCUGUCUCUACGGGAAGGAGUCUGACGCAGGAGAUGUAGUGGGUUAGCCGCUGCGGGAUACCUGCGCAGUGAAGCGUUCGAGGCCUGUUCAGACAGAUAAGCUGCAGCCAAUUAGGGACAUCAUUAGGGUUAGUUAGUAGUUGUCUC